rnacentral:pre_miRNA from 1 species
UUAACUCGAAUUUGUAUGCAGUUGGAACAGCGCCCCUAGCGGCAAACGUAGGUAAACGUUACAGCUCCAAACAAAGUCGAGUUA